GAGCCCCGGCCCUGCAGCCCCGCCGGGGGAGGAGGGGCUGGUGAGCGCGGGGGGUGCCCGCCCUGUCUGGCUGCCUUCAUAUUUAAUAGGAAAAAAAAAAAAUAAAACAAAAAAAAAAGCUUCGUUUUCCGUCUUCACGCCGCUGCAGCUGCCUGGAUGAGGGGCGAGCUGGGCUCUUUUCGUCGCUAGCCGAGCCUUUUCCUCCCCGCCCCUCCGGCCGGGUUGUAGUCGCAGUCCUCCGGCUGAAGAUGUAUCUGUAAGAACAUCACUCAUUUGUUUGAAAUGUGAUGAAAUGGAAGCCUGUAGGCAUAUAUUGUUUGCAAGUCACAUCAAUUGUUUCUGAUGUCUGCCUUUGUAUUCUUCUAAUAUGUAAGUGAGCAUCUUAAUGCAUGAGGAAUAAUAACACAAAAAAUGUUGCUAAAAUGCUGUGUGCUUUCUCAAGUGUAGUUGAAAUCUUAUUAGCCAGAGGAAUGUGACUUGCCAUGUCAUAAAAACCACCUGGUAGUGAUUCACCGAGUGUCACUAAAAGAAGUCCUGUAUGACACAGCAUUUUUCUUGGGAGGUUCUAAUGAGCUAAGUAUUUCCAGUAUAUCCUCAACUUCAGAUGUACUAUUCCUGCUCUUUUGGCACUCAAGACUAGUUGUCCCAGGAUCUAAUUUCGCAUCUCUUCCUUGUGUUUGAAAACCGCUCUUCAGUUCUGCCUUUUCACGUGUUCCUGUGACUGCUUCUUAACCUCUAACAAGUGUCUGGUGUUUAUUAAAAAUAAAUAUUUAUAGCUCAGUGUUGGCGUGGUCAGAUGCGCAGUUACACUGGGACAAGUACGCAGUGAUAACCAGAGCAGAGUAUUUUGUGUUUAACACUUUGGACUGUAGUACUGGGUGAGCUAGGACAAACUGUUUUUCCUCAUAUCCUUUCUUCCCCCUUGCACAAUCUAGAUAAUGCUAGAUGUAAUUAUACUGACCUCCUAUAUAUAGUAGGUUUUCUAGGAACUAAGCAGAAAUAAAAGGAAAAGGGAGGUUAUGUUAA